UAAGCCCAUUCUUAAAUUCCUAUAACAAUAUCAGUCACCCAAACCCAGACCAAAUACCCAACGCGAACAGCAAAAAACCACCGACAAUGUGUUGUUCUUCCUCCUCACGAUAAUAACUCAGAAAACGCGUGCAAAAUCCAGCAAAGAAUCGCGACUCGAGCUCAACUCGAGCGUAACCAUCUUCGCACAUCCUCUCCCUAAUCUAUUCGUACAAAGCCUUUGAAUUUUUCGAAUGUCUCUAUAUCCUUUUGAUUUCGUCCUUGGACCGAAUUAGACGGCUCUACUUAAAAAUCUGUUUAGGAUUUGUACAAAUGUCAGCCGUCCCAGCCUUACCCUCGAAGGACAUUUGAAUUCUGAAUUUCUAAUUUGAAAUGUCACCCUAAAUCUACCUGAUUCCCCUCCCCCCACCCCCCACCCCUCACCCCCCACCCCCCAAAAAAAGUUUGACCUAAUUCCCUCUAUAUAAACAUUCUCUUCCUUUAGUGUUGGAGGUGAGAAAAACAGAGGAGAAUACUUAGAUAGAGUUGGGGAGACAAAAAAUCUGAAAGAAAUAUAAAUACAAGAAUACAUACAUCAAAAAAAAAAUUAGUAGUGAAGUUCCUCAAGCAAGAAUCUAUAAGAGAAUUUCUUUUGUGCUCGCCUCUUGCAAAGCUCGUCGGAGUGUCGUUGGGGUAGUGAAGUUGCUGCUCCUUCUAGCUCGUCGUCUUCCCUACUUCACUGUCGGGAAAGGAAAUCUCCUCCCUUCUAUGCUAAAGCAUAGAAGACUCCUAUAAUAACUCAACAGUAGAUUAACAAACAACUGAUUAGAACACAUGUUAAAGAGAACAAGACCUUUGGGUGUAUCAGAUGAAGUAUGAUAUGUGAGAGGAUUGCUAACAGAAGUUUCAAGAUUUGGGAUCUCGGGUAAUGUUUAAUGGCCUUAUAGGAAUAUGUGGAACCUGUUGAUUGCAUUGACAAUCAUUUAUCAUGUAUGGAUGAAUUUUUUUGUAGUCUCAACUUAAUAGACUUAUCGCUGAAGUUGCUCAUCGUGCAAGAGAAAUAUUAGGUUUCGCAUCUUUUGGCUUAUGGAAAUUACCAACUAGUUUUAUUCUUGAGGUAUGUUUCUCUAUUGCAAUCUGACUAACAUCACGAUCACUUUUGACUGAAGUAUUGAAACGUGUUAAUUGCAUUUUCGUGCCCCCUUUGAAAUGUUGUGUCAAAAUCAGUGUGAGGUUAUAUUUUGCAGGAGUUGUAAGAGAAGUUAAGGAAAAAAUAGGAGUAUGAAAUUCACAAGCAACAUAUUCCUCUACCUAAAUGAGCAAAUAUGUAAUGAACAAUUGUUAUCUUAAUGAUUAUUAUUCUUUUCUUAUUAUUUUUUCCAGGAUGAUGCUCAAUUUGAGAAGGUUAUGGCUUUCAGGGAACAAACUCUUCAUCUUAUGGCUAAUGAUUAUUUUGUGCCCUUCUAUUGAUUAGAAGAGUUACGUUACAAAUCUUAUAAGAACAUGAAAUGUUGAUACAAUAACUAUCCACAUGACUUGUCUUAGACACAGAGAAUGUGAAAUUCCUAUUAGCUAGACUUUAAUGAUGUGUGAUUAAUAAUAAUUAGCUCUAAGUUAACUAGAACACUUGGUAAAUAAUUACCUUUUGAAGUUCUUUAUCCCUUAUUCACUAUGUUAGUCAUGUAUUAUAAUUUCCAGUUUGUAGUUGCUCGCUUUUUUGUUAUUUAGAAUUAAAAUAAUGACUACAGAGUUCAUCACUAAAGUGAAGUCUAUAUAACUUAUUGUAUGCACAAAGUAAUCACAUUUUUAGCAGUUUUAGCCUUUGCUUUUAUAUUGCUGCUAUAAUGCAUUGGAGAGGAGAAAA